GUGUGACUUAGUGGUAAAGCACUUGCCUAGCAAGCAUGAGGCCCUGGAUUCAAUUACCAGCAC
rnacentral:tRNA from 1 species